UUCACUGUGAAAAUGCUUCCUUAACUGCUGUUUUCUCACCUCUGUCAUUUGUUGUGUUUAUUUUAUUGUUGAGAAGAAAGCGCACAGCACUUGUUUACCUAUUCAUCUGAAAUUCAUCUAAUUUUCAGCUCUCAGCAUGGGUGAUUUGUACAGGCUGUUCUGGUUUAAAUCCAGGACGACAUUUAUAUUGUAUUCUUGAAUUGAUUCUGUAGUUUGGUUGCCAUAAAUUAUAUAUAUAUAUACACACACACAAACAAACAUAACUGGUAUUGGCAUAAUGUGAAUAGCAAAGAUUGUAAUACUUUACAGCUGAACAAACCAGCACACAGUGGUUUUGGUGUACAUCCAUCUCGUGAACAUGUGGCCACUGCUGCUGUUUCACGAUAUCCAAACUCACAACGGUAAGAUUUUAUCGCUUCUAAUUUCUUAUCUCCGCUGAAGUAAUAGUACGGUCUAUACACAUUCUGGUCAUAUGGAGUUUCACAUGUAAUCUCUGUAACAAGAUUCACAUGCUUUUAGUAACAUGCAAUAAAUUCAUCACCAAAUCCAGAAAUGCUUUGCAUGUAAAUGAUCUGCUGUCUUCUUUUGUACCAUAGAACCAGUGUUUUUCAGAGCAGGUGAUCUCCACACUUUCUCCAGCUCUGAAAAUAGUCUUUCCAUAUGGGUUGGUCUUUUUUACUCCAAUUGUGGUUGACUUCAGCUCACAGGUUACUGCUGUACAAGACAUAAUUAUAUAGAACUAAUGGUAAGAAGACAUGAAGCAUCAAAAAUCUGUGAAACUGGAUCCAAUUUGUCUUUAGCAGGAAGCAAAAAAUUCUGACAUAAAAGAAAAAAAAAUCUGACUACAUUUUGUUGUCCAUAUAUUCUGUAAGUAUUAGAGGCACAUUUUCUACAUUGCAGUAUUUGUAAAACUACAAUGCAAAAUUAUUUUUCGAAGUUAUAACAGAAACAC
ensembl:lncRNA